rnacentral:rRNA from 1 species
GAUGAACGCUGGCGGCGUGCCUAAUACAUGCAAGUCGAGCGAACGGACGAGAAGCUUGCUUCUCUGAUGUUAGCGGCGGACGGGUGAGUAGCACGUGGAUAACCUACCUAUAAGACUGGGAUAACUUCGGGAAACCGGAGCUAAUACCGGAUAAUAUUUUGAACCGCAUGGUUCAAAAGUGAAAGACGGUCUUGCUGUCACUUAUAGAUGGAUCCGCGCUGCAUUAGCUAGUUGGUAAGGUAACGGCUUACCAAGGCAACGAUGCAUAGCCGACCUGAGAGGGUGAUCGGCCACAAUGGAACUGAGACACGGUCCAGACUCCUACGGGAGGCAGCAGUAGGGAAUCUUCCGCAAUGGGCGAAAGCCUGACGGAGCAACGCCGCGUGAGUGAUGAAGGUCUUCGGAUCGUAAAACUCUGUUAUUAGGGAAGAACAUAUGUGUAAGUAACUGUGCACAUCUUGACGGUACCUAAUCAGAAAGCCACGGCUACUACGUG